rnacentral:tRNA from 1 species
AAGGAUUUAAGUUAAAUUAAACUCAUAGCCUUCAAAGCUGUAAAUAUGACCUUCUUAAGCCUUA